rnacentral:tRNA from 1 species
AAAUAUGAAGCAAUUAAUUGCAAUUAGUUUCGACCUAAUUAUUAGAUAACAUAUUAUCCAUAUUUA